rnacentral:rRNA from 1 species
AGUGAACGCUGGCGGUAGGCCUAACACAUGCAAGUCGAACGGCAGCACAGUAAGAGCCUGCUCUUACGGGUGGCGAGUGGCGGACGGGUGAGGAAUACAUCGGAAUCUACUUUUUCGUGGGGGAUAACGUAGGGAAACUUACGCUAAUACCGCAUACGACCUACGGGUGAAAGCAGUGGAUCUUCGGACCUUGCGCGAUUGAAUGAGCCGAUGUCGGAUUAGCUAGUUGGCGGGGUAAAGGCCCACCAAGGCGACGAUCCGUAGCUGGUCUGAGAGGAUGAGCAGCCACACUGGAACUGAGACACGGUCCAGACUCCUACGGGAGGCAGCAGUGGGGAAUAUUGGACAAUGGGCGCAAGCCUGAUCCAGCCAUACCGCGUGGGUGAAGAAGGCCUUCGGGUUGUAAAGCCCUUUUGUUGGGAAAGAAAAGCAGCAGGUUAAUACCCCGCUGUUCUGACGGUACCCAAAGAAUAAGCACCGGCUAACUUCGUG